GAUGAACGCUGGCGGCGUGCCUAAUACAUGCAAGUCGAGCGAACAGACGAGGAGCUUGCUCCUCUGACGUUAGCGGCGGACGGGUGAGUAACACGUGGAUAACCUACCUAUAAGACUGGGAUAACUUCGGGAAACCGGAGCUAAUACCGGAUAAUAUAUUGAACCGCAUGGUUCAAUAGUGAAAGACGGUUUUGCUGUCACUUAUAGAUGGAUCCGCGCCGGAUUAGCUAGUUGGUAAGGUAACGGCUUACCAAGGCAACGAUGCGUAGCCGACCUGAGAGGGUGAUCGGCCGCACUGGAACUGAGACACGGUCCAGACUCCUACGGGAGGCAGCAGUAGGGAAUCUUCCGCAAUGGGCGAAAGCCUGACGGAGCAACGCCGCGUGAGUGAUGAAGGUCUUCGGAUCGUAAAACUCUGUUAUUAGGGAAGAACAAAUGUGUAAGUAACUAUGCACGUCUUGACGGUACCUAAUCAGAAAGCCACGGCUAACUACGUG
rnacentral:rRNA from 1 species